UGAGCCGGUCGGGUGACCGCGGGCCGAAACCGCGGGUUCUCCCGCGGUGCGGUUCGAGGAAGGUCGGGACUCCACAGGGCAGGGUGCUGGCUAACGGCCAGUCGGGGCGACCCGCAGGACAGUGCCACAGAGAGCAGACCGCCGAUGGCCCUCCUCAUUGGCGGGCACAGGCAAGGAUGAAACGGUGCGGUAAGAGCGCACCAGCGACCGGGGUGACCCGGUCGGCUCGGUAAACCCCACCCGGAGCAAGGUCGAAUCGGGGGCACGGGCUGCCCGUCCGGUCCUCCUCCGAGGACCACCCCCAGGUGGACCGCUCAGAUGGAUGGUCACCGCGCCUCGUUCGAGGCGUACAGAAUCCCGCCUACAGACCGGCUCACCGU
rnacentral:RNase_P_RNA from 1 species